CCUCCCCACCCCGCCCCCUGCCUCUCCCCUCAGCGCCGCGCGCGCGCCCUCCUCCUCCUCCUCCUCCUCCUCCCCCCUCCCGCGCGCCCGCCCGGCCGGCCAAUGGCGGCGGCCGCCCGGCCGGCGCCCGCCAAUGGGGGCGGCCCGGGGGCGGGGCGGCCGCCCGUCGCGCUAGGCUGCGCCGCGCUAGGCUGCGCCGCGCUGUAAACAAGGUGGCGCGCGGGGGAGCGCGCGCGGGGAGGGCGAGGCGGGAAGGGCCCGCGCGCCCGCGUUAAAGGGCCCGCGCGCCCGCGUCAAAGGGCCCCCGCGGCCUCUUCAUAAGAAUGGUGCUAUUUGUUAAGCGCGGACUAUGUGCGGGGCACUGUUCUGAGCGCUGGGGGAGACCCAGGGUCAGCAGGUGGCCCCACGUGAGGCUCCCAGUCUUCAUCCCCAUUUUGCAGAUGAGGUCACUGAGGCCCAGAGAACUGACUCGCCCCCAGUGGCGGAGCUGACAUUCGAACCCAUGACCUCUGACUCCCAAGCCCGGGCUCUUGCCCCUGAGCCACACUGAGGGCCCCGUGGCCCGCAGAGCACGGAAGGGGGUUGCACCGAAGAGCGGCUCGCGGAGAGGGUUUUGAAAGGAGUUUACAUUCUGCUAGGAGAGACAGCUAGGAGGAAGACAAAGCUACGAAAAGCCAUUAUGGCUUCUUCUCUGGGACAGGCAGCUCACCCUGGCGGAGGUGACUAUGACAGUCACAAGGAGGAAGUCACAGGAGGAAGUCAGAUGGCGCAACGGACCAGAUCCUCCCCACGGCCUCGACCAGGCUCGGAAGAGCAGCCGGCGACCGAGAGACUCCCGGCUUGCUCUGCCUUCGUUGCUGCUCCCCCAUCCAGAGUCCCGCUGGAUCUUGAGAUGGCAGAGGAUCAGAGGCAGAGGGAUUCCCGAGAACAUGGUUGGGGGACUCUGCCUUGUGGCCAUUUUUCCAGUGGUCCAUGAGUAGAGGCGAGCGAGUGGGUGGGCGGACGCCGCCGCCCCAACUCCUGCUGGAGCGGGCUCAGCUCCAGACCAUCAGUCUCCUCUCCCGGGCACCAGGAAUCGGAGCACUUUCCAGAGCUUUUUAGUUCCUUUCUCCUCCGCCGUGGGUGGCAAUGGGACAAAGGACCAGGCAGAGUUCAGUGGGAGGUCUGACUGGGGAGAUGGGUGGCUCGGAUGGGGCUCGGUGGGUGGAAACUGAGGUCGACCCAGCCCCUGCUCAGCGGGGAACCUCCCCCAGUCCCACCGAGGCAGCCUGCCAUUCCAUAAUAAUAAAGGUAUUUGUUACGCGCUUACUGGGGUGUCGGGCACCAUACUAAGCGCUGUUGUGGGCAGGGAAUGUGUCGGUUUAUUGUUGUAUUGUACUCUCCCCCAAGCGUUUAGUACUGUGCCCUGCAAACGGUAAGUGCUCAAUAAAUACGCGGGAAUGAAUGAAUCAAGUAGAUACAAAGUAAUUGUGUUCGACACGGUCCCUGUCCCACAUGGGGCUCACAGUCUUAAUCCCUCUUUUACAGCUGGAGGUAACUGAGGCACCGAGAAGGGAAGUGAUUCGGUCAAGGUUACAGCUGACAAGUGGCAGAGCUGGGAUUGGAACCCAGGUCCUUCUGAUUCCCAGUCCUUCUGACUCCCAGUCCUGUGCUCUAUCCAUUAGACCAUGCCGCUUCUCAUGCCAUGACUUCAUGCUUAACCCAGGUGAAAAUCCCUACACUGGGCCCAGCUAGGGGCCUUCCUCCUCCUCCUGCUCCCCCUCCAAGCCAAUCUGUGCCCAGCUCUUAGGGCCCCUCGAGUCAGGAGUCUGGGCAGAGGACAAUAGGCCCGGGAGCUGAGCCCGGGAGCGGAUGGGACGGGCCUGCCCAACGUUGCCCGGCCGUGCUUCGGGCCUGGGCGCCGCCCGCGCCACCCGGGACACAGGGGAGGGGCCGGACUCCCACCCUCAAGGAAACUUUAUUGAGCCCCAAAAAACAGAUGGGAAAAUGGCAAACCCUCCAGGAGACAGCUUCACGUCCCCUCAGUGGACAAACCAAGGCUGCAGCUACAUCUGCAAGUACUAAGGCACUAAGGGUUGGGGGUGGAUGGGUGGCGGGUGGGUGGGCAGGGGAAGGAAAGGAGGUGCUGAAGGCCCUCACCCCGGCACCACCCCUGGCAAAGCAGGAGCUCCGGGCUGAGGGAGCCCUUCCGCCCGUCUAAGCUUCCCCAGUCCUGCUAGGCGAGGGGGGAGGACGCGGCCUGGGCCGCGAGCUCUCUCGGGCUCUGGCC
rnacentral:lncRNA from 1 species